GUAAGCGGAUGGGCUCGGCCUCAAGGACAGGGUGCUCGGCUGAAAAAAAAGCUAGCGGCGAUCACCGGUGCCAGGGCUCUCCAGAAACGGAGCCCAUCUAACCAAUGCCCAGCACACUCGCUCUGCUCCACACACGAGACCACCUCCGACCCGCACUAAGUUGGCCAACUGCACUCUGGAGGCGGCGGCAGCCAGCGAGGGAGAAGGGAAAGGCUGUCCCGGGACCCCGAGGAGGACUGCCCCGCCCCCGGGAACCGGGUGCGGCGUAAAACAACCCCGGCUCCGGGCCGACCCUUCCUGGCCCCUUGGAGGCCCAGGCGGGGCGGCGGGGGGCGACGCGGCAGGGGUCUCCGCGCCCAGGCUCCCGCGGAGCGGCCACACGUGGAGGUUCCCACUUUGGGGUCGCGGCCGCAGCAGCACCGGGCGGGAUGCUGUCCGCGCUGCCCGCGUACGGCCGCGGCCUGAGUGGAGACGCCUGCCCCCAGCCCCGAGGCCUCGGCCCCCGUCCGCCCUCUCUCCCUGCUCGGCGGCCUCGUACUCACGCUGACUUCAUGGCAGCAGGCUCCACGCCGCCCAAACGCGCAUGCGGGACGGCUGGCUGGCGAAGACUGCGGGACGUUAGGACCGGCAGCAAGAACUAGAACUUCGCGGCUAAGGCGCGGUGCUCUGCGAAGCCGGCGGCGACGCUAAGAGCCCAGGUGAGCUCCCGCCUGGCGCAUUUCAAACGGGCCAAUCAGCGCCCGUCCGCAGGGAGAGGCAGGACCUCCGCGGAAGUGACUUCGCUGCCGGAAGUGGCGCUUGUCUCCUAGGCGACCGACGCUGAAAGGGCCGCGGAGUCGCGUGUCAGGGCUGGAGGGAGAUCUUGAGAAACUCCAUUUUGAUCUGUACUAAGAAAAAUCUUCUUAUUUAUUUUCUCAGUCUCUCGUCCCACCUGACGAGAAAUACCCACAGGUGUGGAGGGGCUGGCCCCCUUCACCUGGGUCUCGACUCCUGUUUUGUUCUGCGGUUCCCAUUGCAGUGCUGUGACCCCCCAGAAGCUCAGGAAAACAACUGACUUCCUGGUGUUGCCAACAGGCAGAGAGGAGAUGCAGCCAGUCCUUACCCUGUAGAAGAUGGGGAGGGAGUCCCAGGUGUACGGAUAAGCAAAGGCGAGGACACGAAUCACCUUACAGAGUCUGGGCUUCUGGAUUUCAAGAAACCUAAAUCAGGGAAGGAAAGUGGGGAGGAAAUGGAAUGAAAAGAGUCUCAGCAAAUUGCAUACGCACAUGCAUGCACACCGAGGGCCUGGUCAUCAACAGAGGACAAGCAUUUUUCUACAAGCUCCUGUGGCCAGCAGCUUCUCCACCAGCCUCGUCCAUUCCUCCCACCCCAAUGGAAGUGACAAAACUUCAGAUGCAAAAAGAUCUCCAGGGACACCAUCUCCUGACCAUGGGAAGCAGUGGUGUCCAGACUAAGCCAGAAAGGAGGCGCUGGGCAGAAACCCUUCAAGGGCCAAGUUAUGUAACUGCCAAAGAACCUUUUAAAACUCUAGUUGCUACAGGGACAGGGAACGGGUAGGGGGAAUCGGGGGAUCCACUGCCACAGACUCUUGGGGGGCACACUCUGCAGAGGCUGAGAUGCACCCAUCUAGUUGGAGCCCAGGUAUUAUCAUGCAGGAGACCUGGGUUCAAGUAGGUGUUUGACCCUUGGAGAGCUUUCUGGAAUAUUUAUACCACACACAGGGAUACUUGGCUUGGGAAAACUAAAUAAACGUGAAGUCUUUC
rnacentral:lncRNA from 1 species